GGAUCCGGGCGUCGGAGUGUGUGCGAGUGCGUGAGUGUGUGUCGGUCGCACGGCGUGUGUCUCCGGCCGCGGGUUCCGCCUCCUCCCCUGCCGCCGCUGCUCACGGUGUAAGUCAAUGUGAAGCAGCAGCUCCAGCCCCGGGAUAAACAUGGCGACGUCUCUGCAUGAGGGACCCACGAACCAGCUGGAUCUGCUCAUCCGGGCCGUGGAAGCAUCAGUUCAUAGCAGUAAUGCGCACUGUACAGAUAAGACAAUUGAAGCUGCUGAAGCCCUGCUUCAUAUGGAAUCUCCUACCUGCUUGAGGGAUUCAAGAAGUCCUGAAUUUAUCCAUGCUGCUAUGAGGCCAGAUGUCAUUACAGAAACUGUAGUGGAGGUGUCAACUGAAGAGUCUGAACCCAUGGAUACCUCUCCUAUUCCAACAUCACCAGAUAGCCAUGAACCAAUGAAAAAGAAAAAAGUUGGCCGUAAACCAAAGACCCAGCAAUCACCAAUUUCCAAUGGGUCUCCUGAGUUAGGUAUAAAGAAGAAACCAAGAGAAGGAAAAGGUAAUUUGGGGAGGGUUGCUUUGGAAGUGAGAUGAUUUUUUUCCGGUUAGGUGACAUUUUUGUAUUUGUAAGAAAAUUAUUUCUAGUACAUGCACAUAUGAGAAUACUGUUGUUGGCAAUAGUUCUUAAUAAGGGAUGUAUCAGCAUCACGUGGGGAGCUUUUUCAAAAUAUCUGUGCCCAGUUCCUACACCACAGAGAUUCUGUAGCCAUAGUUGUAUCAUGGGGGAUAUAGGGACUUUUGGAAAAAGUCCGAAGGAUGUCUGAUACAUAUCCUCCUUAAGAACCAUUGACUUACGGGAUAAUAGCACCCAUCCUCAUAUAUAGCUACCCAUAAUUCAAAGGGGUUUACAACUAAGCCUUGUUUCUAAUAAUUUCUUUCUUUUCUUAUUUUUGUGAGACAGUGUCUUGCUCUGUUGCCCAGGCUGGUGUGUGGUGGUGUGAUCAUGGCACAUUGCAGCCUUGAUCUCCUGGUCUUAAGUUAUCUUCCCGCCUCAGCCUUCUGAGUUGCUGGGACCACAGGCACAUGCCACCAUGCCUGGCUAAUUUCUUUUUUCUUUUUUUUAAUUUUUUGUAUAGAUGAGGUCUCACUGUCACCCAGGCAGGUCUUACACUCCUAGGCUCAAGUGAUCCUUCUGCCUCAGCCUCUGAAAGUGCUGGGACUAUAGGCAUGAGCCACCGCAACUAGCCUGAUACAUAACUUCUUAACUGUUUAGAAGAAUUCAAGGCGAGCUAAAUUUAGUUUUCCAAUCAAUAAAUGUCAGUCACAUCAGUCACAAUUCAGAACAAAACCAUGUUUUUGCUUAUUUAUUGACUUAUUUUUACAGACUGGAAUGCAGUGGCAUGACCAUAGCUCACUGCAGCCUUGCGCUACUGUGCUUAUAGCCUCCCAAGUAGCUGGGACUACAUGCACACACCACCACACCCAGCUAAUUUUUUUUUUUUUUAAGAAAUGGGGUCUUGUGCUUUGUUGCCCAGGCAGGUCUCGAAUUCCUAGCUUCAAGAGAUCCUCCGGCCUCACACUCCCAGAGUGCUGAGAUUAUAAGCAUGUGCCACUGCCCCUUGCCUAUUUUUGCUUUAGAAUUUGUGUAUCCUGAUUAAAAAUGAAAACAGCACCAAACCUCCCCCAUUGUGUGCUUUCCUAAUUUGUUGAGUAAGAUGAUUUCAAGUAUCAUUUCUUUUUAAAAUUAUUUUUAUUACUUUUUUAUCUUUUUUUUUUUUUUUUUUAAUUUUAAAAUCUUUUGUAGAAACAGAGUGCCCCUGUUUUGCCCAGGCUUGUUCCAAACCCCUGGCCUCAAGCGAUCCUCCCAUCUUGGCCUCCCAAAGUGUUGGGAUUAUAGGCAUGAGCCACCGCACCUGGCCUUUAAUUUUCUUGUCAGUCAGAUUCUGACAGAUAAAGUAUCGUUUCAGUAGUGGUUUUAGAUGUGUUCUGUCUGCCAAUCUGAUAACCAAAAAUUGAUCACUUUCAUGAUAAGUAUUUUCAGACCAAUAUUCAAUAGUUGGAUAAAUUUUACAUUAAUAUAUUUAAAUUUAUUCUGUCCUUAUCAGGUGGUUUGACUUAAUAAUUUUAAGUAAUUAAAACAGAAAUUAAGUCUAGUUUAAAAAAAAAUUGUCUCCAGUAAGCCUACCAAGAAAUUCGGUAUUUCGUUAGGUCAAAAAAAAAAAAAAAAAAAA
rnacentral:sRNA from 1 species